rnacentral:rRNA from 1 species
AUUGAACGCUGGCGGCAGGCCUAACACAUGCAAGUCGAGCGAGCGGCGGACGGGUGAGUAAUGUCUGGGAAACUGCCUGAUGGAGGGGGAUAACUACUGGAAACGGUAGCUAAUACCGCAUACCAUCAGAUGUGCCCAGAUGGGAUUAGCUAGUAGGUGGGGUAACGGCUCACCUAGGCGACGAUCCCUAGCUGGUCUGAGAGGAUGACCAGCAACACUGGAACGGAAACAAGGUCCAGACUCCUACGGGAGGGAGAAGUGGGGAGUAUUGCACGAUGGGCACAAGGCUGAUGCAGCCAAGCCGAGUGUGUGAAGAGGGCCUUCGGGAUGGAAAGCACUUUCAGCGGGGAGGCGUUACCCGCAGAAGAAGCACCUGCUAACUCCGUGCCAGCCGCCGCGGUAAUAU